rnacentral:lncRNA from 1 species
GAAAUGAAAGUGCAAUGAUUGGGGGAAAUACAGGAAGUCAGGGGAUCAAAGAAGCAGACCCCCCUCUGCUCCCACCACCCUGUUAAUGGAAGGCAGAGCCGGAGGGUACCACCAGAGCUACCCAUGCAGAACUGUGUUGAAGAACAAGGCUGUCACCACCCUGGGGACUUCCAGCCCCACCCAGCCAUUGCUUCUGCGGGACCAGACUGCAGGGAGCCAGCUCCUCCCAACAAGAACCCCCAGGAGGGAAGGGUUUCUCCCUUCAGCCACCCACCCCUCAUCCCCCACCGGCAGCCUGAAGCCUAUCCUCUGUCCCUCCGUCUCCAGUUGCUUUGACCCCAUCUGUCCCCGUUAGUUAUCCUACCUCUUUCUAAGAGAUGCCCAGUGAGGGUGGGGCUGGGUGGUGGGUACAGUGCCAUUGCUCUGUCCUGGAGCAUGCAUGUGGCUCUGCGUGGUCUCUCCUCAAGGUGGAAGCUUCUCCCCUCUUGUCAAGCCCUGGUCCCAGCAGCUCCAAGUGCCAGCUGAUGCUGCCCAGGGCAUCUGAGCUGUGUUUCUUACAAUCUGCAGGAAAUGUGGUCCUGCAGCCUCCACCAUUGGGUGAGAGGGAACCAGUAUUGGAGACGAGACUGGGAGAAGGACACAGUAACAGGGAUGACAGUGGCAGGGCUGGGCUGGGCAAGGGGUGGGGGUGAUCCCCAACCAUUAACCUGAGAAGCUGCCUUUCAUCUUUAGAGAGUUUUCUGAUUGACACUUCAAUUAAACUAUUCCAGGACAAACCACCAA